AGGCAAUUAGCUCAGCGGUAGAGCAUCUCGUUUACACCGAGGUUGUCAGCGGUUCGAAUCCGUUAUUGCCUA
rnacentral:tRNA from 1 species